rnacentral:rRNA from 1 species
GAACGCUGGCGGCGUGCUUAACACAUGCAAGUCGAACGGAAAGGCCCUGCUUUUGUGGGGUGCUCGAGUGGCGAACGGGUGAGUAACACGUGAGUAACCUGCCCUUGACUUUGGGAUAACUUCAGGAAACUGGGGCUAAUACCGGAUAGGAGCUCCUGCUGCAUGGUGGGGGUUGGAAAGUUUCGGCGGUUGGGGAUGGACUCGCGGCUUAUCAGCUUGUUGGUGGGGUAGUGGCUUACCAAGGCUUUGACGGGUAGCCGGCCUGAGAGGGUGACCGGCCACAUUGGGACUGAGGUACGGCCCAGACUCCUACGGGAGGCAGCAGUGGGGAAUAUUGCACAAUGGGCGGAAGCCUGAUGCAGCAACGCCGCGUGCGGGAUGACGGCCUUCGGGUUGUAAACCGCUUUCGCCUGUGACGAAGCGUGAGUGACGGUAAUGGGUAAAGAAGCACCGGCUAACUACGUG